AGCAAACGCUGGCGGCGUGCCUAAUACAUGCAAGUCGAACGGGUAGCAAUACCAGUGGCGCACGGGUGAGGAAUACAUAGAUAAUCUGCCUUCGAGUCGGGGAUAACCAGUCGAAAGAUUGGCUAAUACCGGAUAAGACCACAAGAUCUGCGGAUCAAGGGGUUAAAGGUUUUUCGCUUGAAGAUGAGUCUAUGCGAGAUUAGCUAGUUGGUGAGGUAAUGGCUCACCAAGGCGACGAUCUCUAACUGGUCUUAGAGGAUGAUCAGUCACACUGGAACUGAGACACGGUCCAGACUCCUACGGGAGGCAGCAGUAGGGAAUAUUGCGCAAUGGGGGAAACCCUGACGCAGCGACGCCGCGUGAGUGAUGGAGGCCUUCGGGUCGUAAAGCUCUGUCGUAUGGGAAUGACACAAUGAAUGUACCAUGCAAGAAAGGAUCGGCUAACUUCGUGCCAGCCGCCGCCGUAAUAC
rnacentral:rRNA from 1 species